UCUGUAAGCCUGUGAAGGUGUGCUGUGAGGCAUGCUGGAGGUAUCAGAAGUGCGAAUGCUGACAUAAGUAACGAUAAAGCGGGUGAAAAGCCCGCUCGCCGGAAGACCAAGGGUUCCUGUCCAACGUUAAUCGGGGCAGGGUGAGUCGACCCCUAAGGCGAGGCCGAAAGGCGUAGUCGAUGGGAAACAGGUUAAUAUUCCUGUACUUGGUGUUACUGCGAAGGGGGGACGGAGAAGGCUAUGUUGGCCGGGCGACGGUUGUCCCGGUUUAAGCGUGUAGGCUGGUUUUCCAGGCAAAUCCGGAAAAUCAAGGCUGAGGCGUGAUGACGAGGCACUACGGUGCUGAAGCAACAAAUGCCCUGCUUCCAGGAAAAGCCUCUAAGCAUCAGGUAACAUCAAAUCGUACCCCAAACCGACACAGGUGGUCAGGUAGAGAAUACCAAGGCGCUUGAGAGAACUCGGGUGAAGGAACUAGGCAAAAUGGUGCCGUAACUUCGGGAGAAGGCACGCUGAUAUGUAGGUGAAGCGACUUGCUC
rnacentral:rRNA from 1 species